AAAGUGCCAGUCGCAGCUCUGCGCUGCCCGCCUGCCCGCCUGGCACCGCUUCCAAACCCACCCAGCCGGCCGCCGGCCCGGGCCUGGGGGAUCCUGCCACAGGCUGCCAGCGGGCUCCGGGAGCUGUCCCGGCCCCUGGCCUGCUGGGGGGUCACGAUUCUUUGGGGACUCCCACUGGGGCUUGCGGUGGCAUCGCCCCCAGCACGGCCGCCCCAGAGUCCCUUUGCAGGCAAGAAAUAAGAUAAUGUGGAAGCAUGCAGGAAGAUAUUAUUGCACCUCUUGCUCUAAUAUAUAAUCAGAGCUUUUGUUCCAUGUCUUGCGCAAGCAAAUUAAUUAGAAAUUUAUCUGACCAGGAGUUCAACGCAGCGUACAUUUAAAGCAGAGGACAUCCCUGUGCAUUUGUUUGCUCUCCGUCAUGGAACAAUUAUCUGCCCAUUUAGGAAAUUCAGCAUUUGUUUCUAUUUUAAUAGAAGCUCCUAAGCAUAAAAAAAUACCAGACCACUUCUGAUUGUAGCAUGCUUAAAAACCUCCAACAGGAAAACACCACUUGUAACCCCUCUUCUCCCACACAGAGCAUCACCCCAGGUGUUUCCAGGAGGCCACUGGGCAAGCAGCAGCUCCAGCCUGCAGUGGGACAGACCUGCACGGUGCUGGCAGUGACAGCACAGCCACCUGGGCAAGAAGAGAGCUCAGAAAGCAAGAAAAUAAAAAAGGAUGAAUCUGGAGGGAGAGGGGUGCUGGGAAGCAAAACAGGGGUGGUGGGGUUCUGGGAAAGAGCUGUUUCCCCCAAGCUAUGUGGAUGUGAGGCAAUAAAGCAACCUGGUAAACACUGCACCAGUGGCUCUGGGGACUUUGGCCCAGGACAGACCCUUCCAUCAGCCUCACCAGGAACCCUGGCAUAUGAAAUUAGCAGAACAGGUAGCAGGGUGGCGGUGGGACCUGUUUUGUCAGCGUCCCUUCCCUCCCAGCAGCCAAGCAGACAGGCGCGUCAGGUAAAUAUUUACUACAAUCGUGGAGUUUCCCUUGUCUUUGGCAAGGAACACCAGUGUCAAAGUAUCAACCUAUGUGAAAGUUUCUCAAGAACUUUAAAAAGGGCAAGUUGCCACUUUCCAUCCUCACGGUGCUGGUCCCUGAUGCCAUGGAUGAGCAUGGCCGAGGAGCACUUCCUGCUCUCCUGUGCUUGGGAUGGCUCCUGUGGCACCCAGUGACCAGCACCUGUGGGCCCUGAACCACACAAGACAACACACUCACCCGGCUGCACCGAGACACUGCGUACACACCACGCGAUGUGCUGAUAAGGGAAAUAGUGUGGAGAAGAGCCUAAGGAGAUAGAAGAACAUUAUUUUAAAUUAUCUUGAACAUAAAAAACAAAGUGAGGAUUUGGCAACCUUGCAGCAAAAACCUCAAAACCAGUUAUUCCUUUUAAAUAAAAACAAAAAUGAGAAACA
rnacentral:lncRNA from 1 species